AAAUUCAUUCCUAAAAGUUUCAAUGGGAACGAGCUUUAACACUGGGACAAGAAAGCAGUGUCCAAAAAAACUAUUGAAAAGAAGCGCUCUCUGUGGGGAUGGGAAUGGAAAGUGUGGUCUGUGCUGGUGUACGGUGUGCACACGGAGUAACCAAUUUGUAGCCUAUAUGUGCAUGGAUAUUCUGCAAAAAAUAUAUCUUUUAUUUGGAUCAAGCGUGAUGGGACUCUUGGACCCCCUUGGACUGAACCAUGCGUAUCAGAUUUCAUUAUCACUGUGAUAAAUCAUAUUACUUCCAAUGAAGGCAGUGCAUCGUUGCUGCAGGCUGCAUCCCUAACUAACCACCAUGAUUCAGAGACCAGCAGCCCCUGGGACCCAGUCUCUCCGGUCAGUCCUGUGGCCCAUUCCCUCUGAGUUGAGAUUGAAGAAGCAGAACUAUUGUUGACCUUACCUCCGCCAGAGCCCCAGAAUCCUUUGGGAGAUAUCGGAUGUGAUCGUUCCUUUGGAGAAGUGAUGUAUCCGUAUUGACAACCUGGGAAGGAAGUAGGAUGUCACAUGUGAAGUAUCUGGGAUUUCCCUUCCCCUCAGGGAUUAUUGGGUUGUGGAUAUUGUGGAGUUGGGACUGAGCAGGGAAGAGAGAGGGUAUCUGCCAUUCAGCCUGCUAUGGAACUGGGAUCUGAGGGGAGCCAGCAUCAGCACCAUCACCAGAGGAGGAAACCUGUGACACAUGCACUGGAUGAGCAGAAAAAGGUAAAUGGAGCCCAUCGCUGUCUGUCUCUCUGUCUGUCCGCUAAUGACCUCUUUACAAUUAUGACCACUGCUUCACAGUGGUAAUAAUGUCACAAACAGGAGCUUGAGGGGAACAUCUGUUUGAUUCACCCCAAAAUGUUUUUACAUUACUGUUAUAUGAGUGUUAUCCUGCUGGUGUGGUUGAUCAAAUCAGUGGCUGCAGUUUAAUUCCGUGUACAAGUCACAGCAGUUUCUGAAUGCUUUGAACUUUGAAACUGAACAGAACAAAAUGUACUGCAUAAUGGUAAAAGUAAGUUUUAUUGUAAUCUGUUGGACAACUUUAAAAAUGGUAUGUACGAAUAUAAAUGAUGCAUAAUGCCGGUGGUGAAAAUGACAGUAACAAAAGUAUGUUUAUUCUUGGCUAGAUUCAGUAUGCAUGCAGAGUUAGGUAGAUUAUGUAUCUAUUAUGAGAGAGUUAAUGGGGAUCCCGUCCCCCAUCUGUUCAGGCUUCAUACCAGGAUGUUAUAAGAGGGUUCUCUACGGUAGCUAGGUUGUCCCCCCACCCCCGAUGGCUGGCAGCUGGGGCAGCAUAUAAUGGUCAUGCUUUGGCUUUGGUGAAGCUUCUACAUUGAACUGUGGGGCUGUCGUAGAGAUUAGGUCAUUUGCCUUGAUAAGUACGUGCGAUCGCUUUCAAUGACUCCUCAAGUGAAAGUCUCCCUUUGAACAAUGUAAAGCUCAGUGUUGGGUCUUAUCAUGUCAGCCCCCUCUCUCACGCCUUAUGGCAGCCUGAUUGCCUUGUACUCUUGCCUCAUUGUUGGCCCUCAUUUAGCCCACCCUCGUUUGUCAUCAGAUGUCUAUUUAAUCUUAGGAUGAUUAAAUGUUCUAUUUGUUCAGACCUGUGAUUUCUAGGAUUCAGUGUUCCUGGGUUCUUGAGAGGUACAGGUAAAAGAAGGCUGCUUGUAAACUCAUCAUUAUCCUUCAAUAGCCAAAAGAGUAGUUUUCUGUGACUUGAUGCUUUGGUUUUUCCCCUUACUGAAUUUAUUGAUAGGUUGGGGAGCAGUGAUUUGAAUAAUCUCUGAUUGUGAUGGUAGUAUCAUUAAUGAAUGUCCUCCUAACCUGCUCUAACAUCUUUUAGACCAAUAAUUACUACAAUGCACCAUGUUGAUUACCUUAUUAGUAAUCCAUCUGGUAUGACAUUGACUACCUACAAUGUUACAGUGAGUACUACUGUAAAGGGGGAUACCUAGUCAGUUGUACAACCGGAUGUCUUCAACUGAAAUUUGUCUUCCGCAUUUAACCCAACCCCUCUGAAUCAGAGAGGUGCGGGGGGCUGCCUUAAUCGACAUCCACGUCAUCUACGUCAAGGGAACAGUGGGUUAACUGCCUUGCUUAACGCUCCUACCCACCAGGCUACCUGCUUCCCCUACUGAAGCUCGAUUGUUGUUCUAACUAGAUUAUUUGUGAUUUUGUUAAUUUAGUCAAAUUAGGCAAUUGUUUUCACAGCCCACCUAUGCUCCAACUGUGUUUCCACAGGCAUCCCAUUCUGAGAUAUUUUUCCACUAAUUGUCCUUUUGACAAAUCAGAUCAGCUCUUUUACUAAUAACUGGGCAAAAGAUCAGAAUGUGUCUGCCUGUGUAAACGCUGUCUUAUUGGCACUUUUCCAACAAAGCAAACAUUUCAUAGCAAUGUUAUUGAGUGGUUGAAAGUUGUCAUAAAGUCUCCCAUUUAGCAUUUGUUUGUCUUUGUGUGUUCUAACCUUGGUACAUGUCUAUUCAUGAUUAUUUUGUUUCAUUCGGCAAGCUUUGGAAAGGAAGGGUAGCCCUCUCAUGCAGUCAAAUGACCUAGUGGCCUUAUCGGUGGAAUGGUAUUAAAAUCGUUAAAAUCGUUUUUUUUUUAUUACGCUGAAAAUCCGUUAUUUCUAUGUCAAAGAUUUUGUUAUAUUUCAGUCUUCUGUGAUGUAUAUAAAGUGUAAUAUUGGGGUCAAACUCAAAAUAAAAUACAUUUCUACUGACAUGGUACAUUUA